GACGAACGCUGGCGGCGUGCUUAACACAUGCAAGUCGAACGGAAAGGCCCUGCUUUUGUGGGGUGCUCGAGUGGCGAACGGGUGAGUAACACGUGAGUAACCUGCCCUUGACUUUGGGAUAACUUCAGGAAACUGGGGCUAAUACCGGAUAGGAGCUCCUGCUGCAUGGUGGGGGUUGGAAAGUUUCGGCGGUUGGGGAUGGACUCGCGGCUUAUCAGCUUGUUGGUGGGGUAGUGGCUUACCAAGGCUUUGACGGGUAGCCGGCCUGAGAGGGUGACCGGCCACAUUGGGACUGAGAUACGGCCCAGACUCCUACGGGAGGCAGUAGUGGGGAAUAUUGCACAAUGGGCGGAAGCCUGAUGCAGAAACGCCGCGUGCGGGAUGACGGCCUUCGGGUUGUAAACAGCUUUCGCCUGUGACGAAGCGUGAGUGACGGUAAUGGGUAAAGAAGCACCGGCUAACUACGUG
rnacentral:rRNA from 1 species